rnacentral:rRNA from 1 species
GUUUGCUUAGAAAACAUAAACAGUCUAGCCUGCCCAUUGAUUUUUUUUUUAAAAGGCCGCGGUACCCUGACCGUGCAAAGGUAGCAUAAUAAUUAGUCUUUUAAUUGAAGACUGGAAUGAAGGACUGCACGAAGAGUAAACUGUCUCUAUUUUUAAUACUUAACUUAACUUUUAAGUGAAAAGGCUUAAAUACUCAAGGGGGACGAUAAGACCCUAUAAAACUUUAUUUUUUAAAAAAUACGUUACCAUUUAUUUGUAAAAAUUUACUUAUUUUUAAAUAAAUUCCGUUGGGGCGACGAAAGCAUAAAUCUAACUGCUUUUAAAUUAAACAAUAAUAUUUGAAAAAAUGAUCCUUUAUUAAGAUUUCAAGAAAAAGUUACUUUAGGGAUAACAGCGUUAUUUUUUUUUAGAGUCCAUAUCGACAAAAAAGUUUGCGACCUCGAUGUUGAAUUAAAAUUAUCCUUAUAGCGCAGCAACUAUAAAGGAAGGUCUGUUCGACCUUUAAAUUUUUACAUGAUUUGAGUUCAAACCGG